GCCGGUGUAGCUCAGUUGUUAGAGCAGCGCACUCGUAACGCGAAGGUCGCAGGUUCGACUCCUGUCUCCGGCA
rnacentral:tRNA from 1 species